UGGUCUGAAGAGGCAAGAGUAGUACUCUGAGCUGGAAGUGCGCUAAGUGAAGACUGGCCCUGCAGAUGACCCUGAUGACCACAGCCUGAAGAAGCCCCACUGGACUUUGUACGACCUGAUGGAGGAGGUCCGAAGGAACGACCUCUGCUGCGAUGGAACUGGCACCUAGACAAAGCACCGUUGAAACUACCUGAACCCCUAGGCCUUUUGGCCUCCCUCUCCUGAUGCUCCCGACGACGAUCUCCCUCAAUCUAACGAGCCAUAUCAACUACCUCUUCAAACAAGGCGGCCACAACUCUCUCUCUAGUCAUCAAAAUGCGACUGAUAUAGUUUAGGCCAUCCAUGAACCUCCUAAUCCUCUCCCUAAACCUCCUAAUCUUCUCCCGAUCUGUCGGGGUCAUCCAAGUAGCAUGCCGAGAUAGCUGCGUAAACCUCAACUCAUGCUGGUUCACAGUUAUGCCCCCCUUAACCAACCACUCAAACUGACGACGCAGCUCCUCCCUGCGAGACUGCGGUACCUACUUCUCCACGAAGAGAGUGGAGAAUUGCUGCCAAGUAAGGGGUGCUGCUCCAACAGACCUACGCCUCUCAAACUCCUCCCACCAUGUAAAUGUAGGCCCUGAGAACUAGAAGGUAGUAAAAGCCACUCUACUCGACUCCAAUAUCCUGCAGUGCGAAGCAUACGCUGACACUUGUCCAGAAAUCCCUAUGAAUCCUCUCCCUACGUACCACUGAACGUCGGAGGCUGGAGCCUGCCGAACCUCUCCAAUCGACGUUGCUCGUCUUCUGGAAUAACUGGAACCACAAAGUCUGGAGCUAGUGUGACUGGCGCAACUGGUGCAACUGGGGAAACUCCCGGUACUGAAAUCCCUAAACACCUUGCUCGGGUGUGCGGGCAGCGGGGGUCUGCUGACCACCCCCGGUUUGAGAAGUAGCUGCUGCAAUAGUGACUGAUAAGGCCUG
rnacentral:lncRNA from 1 species